ensembl:rRNA 5S_rRNA 5S ribosomal RNA
AUGUAUGGCCACACCACCCUGAACGUGCCCGAUCUCAUCUGAUCUUUGAAGCUAAACAGGGUCAGGCCUGGUUAGUACUUGGAUGGCAGACGUAAUGGAAGUACUGCUCCAUUUUAUAUA